AUGGCUUCAUCCGGUUCCAGGACGAGGCCGGCGUGCGCGGACCAAGAGGACAUGCCGAAGACGUGGAUGGAGGCCAGUUUGGACAAGGAGAAGGAGAAGGAUGUGCACACACCAUCAUGUUGGUGUGCUGAUGUUUGUAAGCUGAAGGUGUCCACUGACCGCAACAAGUCAUGGACAGAAGGUAGAAGGUUUUUCGUGUGUCCCAACUAUGCACAUGAUCGUCGAAGGACAACUAACGCAUAUGACAUACCACCGGUAUGUUAG
rnacentral:rRNA from 1 species